ensembl:lncRNA
GUGAUUUCUAUGACUUUGUGUACAUAAUUCGGCAUUUUGUACAAAUGUAGGCCAAUAAUAAAUAUAUGGUAUGAUUUCAUUCAUUUCAAAGGUUUAUUUGCAUGACGCACAAACAGACACAAUUGAAAGGUACACAUGUAUUGUGCAUGAAACGAAUUCAAACGUGCUGCAGAUGUGUGUCACAAGUUGAUCUGGCUGUAGGCUGUGGCACUUGGCCAGAGGUGGCGCUGGUUGAUUCGAGUCCAUGUUAGUGCACACAAAGUAAACUGCACGCUUUAGUUUUGAGCAUAAAACGCUGAAACCGGAGAAAUAAAACGUGCGAGGGGAACGAUAAUGACGACAAGAGUCUCCCGAUCGUUUAUUCUCGCUGUCCUGUGAACAACACCGGCGUGGUGUUAAUUGUUUGCUGUUUUCGCGAUCGUGUCGAGCAUGAGGCUAUCACCAGCAGCUCCUGAAACGCAAGACUGCCACACAUCUGUUCGACCAACGCCAGUUGAUCUAAACGCCAGUAGAUCUGGAACACCGGCAAGAGAAUAAGCUUGAAAAGGGUUUGUCUUUUCAUUCUUUCCCAACCUGGAAGCAACAUGAGGCAGCUCGUGUAUCGGAUGUUACCAAACGAAGGCGUCUAGUCUGGAUAGCAGCUGUGAGACGAGCUGAUAUCCAGUUCUCUUCCAUCUCCAAAUAUCUGUUGGUGCUCCAGACAUUUUCAUUCCGCAAACCAGCCUAUGAAAUGGAUGCAACACAUCGUGACUGGGUUCCAGCGCUACACAAGGGACCUGCUUCAAACAUACCACCAUGCCAAUCAGAUCACUUCUUCCAUGUGAGGGUGAAGAGGUGACCCUUCUGGAUAAGAUGGUGAAAGUUUGCUGCGUUUGUUAAACAGUGUGGUAGUAAAACCAGGGAAAAUGAAACUUGCGCCUGUUAAAUAUUCUUAAGUCUUUUGCUGUAUAAAUAGUGGUAUUUUUUUUUUUCAAAAGAUACAGUAAAUAAUGUUAGUAGUGUGUGAUAUCAUGUAAACACUGUCAUGAUUUUAUGUAAACAUUUUGUCAUUUGUAAACUAUAAAUGACAUGGAUUCUACACUGUAACUGAUGUGAUGUUCUAUAAAGUAGUUUUAAUUAAAAAAAAAAAAGGCAAAAAUUAGUUUGUUUCUUUAUUCAAUUUUUGAACAGUGGUACUCAGUCAGUACAUAUUCAGUAAAUGCAAAUUAUUUAUAUGGCAGUGCACUUCAGGCAUAAAUCUAGACCCCUAUAUAAAACAUUAUGGCAUUAUAG